AGCAGUCGCCGCGGUAAUACGAAGGGUGCAAGCGUUAAUCGGAAUUACUGGGCGUAAAGCGUGCGUAGGCGGUGAGUUAAGUCUGCUGUGAAAUCCCCAGGCUCAACCUGGGAAUGGCAGUGGAUACUGGCAAGCUAGAGUGUGUCAGAGGAUGGUGGAAUUCCCGGUGUAGCGGUGAAAUGCGUAGAGAUCGGGAGGAACAUCAGUGGCGAAGGCGGCCAUUUGGGCCAACACCGACACUGAGGCACGAAAGCGUGGGGAGCAAACAGGAUUAGAUACCCCCGUAGUCCCUGUCUCUUAUAC
rnacentral:rRNA from 1 species